GAUGAACGCUGGCGGCGUGCCUAAUACAUGCAAGUAGAACGCUGAAGGAGGAGCUUGCUCUUCUGGAUGAGUUGCGAACGGGUGAGUAACGCGUAGGUAACCUGCCUGGUAGCGGGGGAUAACUAUUGGAAACGAUAGCUAAUACCGCAUGACAACAGUUAUUGCAUGAUAACUGUUUAAAAGGGGCAACUGCUCCACUACCAGAUGGACCUGCGUUGUAUUAGCUAGUUGGUGAGGUAACGGCUCACCAAGGCGACGAUACAUAGCCGACCUGAGAGGGGGAUCGGCCACACUGGGACUGAGACACGGCCCAGACUCCUACGGGAGGCAGCAGUAGGGAAUCUUCGGCAAUGGACGGAAGUCUGACCGAGCAACGCCGCGUGAGUGAAGAAGGGUUUCGGAUCGUAAAGCCCUGUUGUAAGAGAAGAACGAGUGUGAGAGUGGAAAGUUCACACUGUGACGGUAUCUUACCAGAAAGGGACGGCUAACUACGUG
rnacentral:rRNA from 1 species